AUAUCAAUAAGCGGAGGAAAAGAAACCAACAGGGAUUGCCCUAGUAACGGCGAGUGAAGCGGCAACAGCUCAAAUUUGAAAUCUCCUUCGGGCGAGUUGUAAUUUGCAGAGGAUGCUUCGGGCGCGGCGCCUUCCAAGUCCCCUGGAACGGGGCGCCUUAGAGGGUGAGAGCCCCGUACGGUUGGACGCCUAGCCUGUGUGAAGCUCCUUCAACGAGUCGAGUAGUUUGGGAAUGCUGCUCAAAAUGGGAGGUAGACCCCUUCUAAAGCUAAAUACCGGCCAGAGACCGAUAGCGCACAAGUAGAGUGAUCGAAAGAUGAAAAGCACUUUGAAAAGAGGGUUAAACAGCACGUGAAAUUGUUGAAAGGGAAGCGCUUGUGACCAGACUUGCGCCGGGGCGAUCAUCUGGCGUUCUCGCCGGUGCACUCGCCCCGGCUCAGGCCAGCGUCGGUUUGGGAGGGGGGACAAAGGCGGCAGGAACGUGGCUCCCCCGGGAGUGUUAUAGCCUGCCGCGCCAUGCCCCCUCCCGGACCGAGGUUCGCGCUCUGCAAGGACGCUGGCGUAAUGGUCAUCAGCGGCCCGUCUUGAAACACGGACCAAGGAGUCGAGGUUCUGCGCGAGUGUUUGGGUGUCAAACCCGCACGCGUAAUGAAAGUGAACGUAGGUGAGAGCUUCGGCGCACCACCGACCGAUCCUGAUGUUCUCGGAUGGAUUUGAGUAAGAGCGUUGGGCCUCGGACCCGAAAGAUGGUGAACUAUGCUUGGAUAGGGUGAAGCCAGAGGAAACUCUGGUGGAGGCUCGCAGCGGUUCUGACGUGCAAAUCGAUCGUCAAAUCUGAGCAUGGGGGCGAAAGACUAAUCGAACCAUCUAGUAGCUGGUUACCGCCGAAGUUUCCCUCAGGAUAGCAGUGUUGUCUUCAGUUUUAUGAGGUAAAGCGAAUGAUUAGGGACUCGGGGGCGCUAUAUUGCCUUCAUCCAUUCUCAAACUUUAAAUAUGUAAGAAGCCCUUGUUGCUUAAUUGAACGUGGGCAUUCGAAUGCAUCAACACUAGUGGGCCA
rnacentral:rRNA from 1 species